UACGAGUGGCCCAAGCGUUAUCCGGAAUUAUUGGGCGUAAAGGAUGUGUAGGUGGUUGUAUUAGUCUGGUGUCUAACCUCUGAGCUCAACUUGGAGACAGCAUUGGAAACGGUACGGCUAGAGUAUGUUAGGGGUAAGCGGAACUAAUAGUGUAGGGGUGAAAUCCGUUGAUAUUAUUGGGAACACCAAAAGCGAAGGCAGCUUACUGGAACAUUACUGACACUGAGGCACGAAAGCGUGGGGAGCAAACAGG
rnacentral:rRNA from 1 species